GGGAUAGAAUUCCAGGAGUAGCGGUGAAAUGCGUAGAUAUCUGGAGGAAUACCAAAGGCGAAGGCAGUCCCCUGGUCCGAUACUGACACUGAGGUACGAAAGCGUGGGGAGCAAACAGGAUUAGAUACCCUGGUAGUCCACGCCCUAAACGAUGUCGAUUAGCCAUUGGAAGGACCCCUUUUCCUUUCAGUGACGUAGCUAACGCGUUAAAUCGACCGCCUGGGAAGUACGACCGCAAGGUUAAAACUCAAAGGAAUUGACGGGGACCUGAACAAGCGGUGAAUGAUGUGGAUUAAUUCGAUGCUACGCGAAGAACCUUACCUACCUUUGACAUGGCCAAAGUUCUACCGAGAGGCGGAAGUACUCGUAAGAGGAUUGGCGCACAGGUGCUGCAUGGUUGUCGUCAGUUCGUGUCGUGAGAUGUUGGGUUCAGUCCCGCAACGAACGCAACCCUUAUCUUUAAUUGCUCCUAUUUUAACAGGCACUUUAAAGAAACUGCCAAUGAUAAGUUGGAGGAAGGUGGGGAUCACGUCAAGUCCGCAUGGCCUUUAUAGGUAGGGCUUCACACGUCAUACAAUGGUUAGAACAAAGAGCUGCAAAUUCGUAAGAAGGAGCCAAUCUCACAAACCUAACCUCAGUUCGAAUUGCGGUCUGCAACUCGAGCGCAUGAGGCCGGAAUCGCUAGUAAUCGUGGAUCAGAAUGCCACGGUGAAUACGUUCUUAGGUCUU
rnacentral:rRNA from 1 species